AACGAACGCUGGCGGCAGGCCUAACACAUGCAAGUCGAGCGAGGACUUCGGUUCUAGCGGCGGACGGGUGAGUAACGCGUGGGAAUGUGCCCUUCUCUACGGAAUAGCCCUGGGAAACUGGGAGUAAUACCGUAUACGCCCUUUCGGGGUAAGAUCUAUCGGAGAAGGAUCAGCCCGCGUUGGAUUAGGUAGUUGGUGGGGUAAUGGCCUACCAAGCCGACGAUGCAUAGCUGGUUUGAGAGGAUGACCAGCCACACUGGAACUGAGACACGGCCCAGACUCCUACGGGAGGCAGCAGUGGGGAAUCUUAGACAAUGGGGGCAACCCUGAUCUAGCCAUGCCGCGUGAGUGAUGAAGGCCUUAGGGUUGUAAAGCUCUUUCAGCUGGGAAGAUAAUGACGGUACCAGCAGAAGAAGCCCCGGCUAACUCCGUG
rnacentral:rRNA from 1 species